rnacentral:rRNA from 1 species
CUGAGGCGUGAUGACGAGGCACUACGGUGCUGAAGCAACAAAUGCCCUGCUUCCAGGAAAAGCCUCUAAGCAUCAGGUAACAUCAAAUCGUACCCCAAACCGACACAGGUGGUCAGGUAGAGAAUACCAAGGCGCUUGAGAGAACUCGGGUGAAGGAACUAGGCAAAAUGGUGCCGUAACUUCGGGAGAAGGCACGCUGACACGUAGGUGAAGUGAUUUACUCACGGAGCUGAAGUCAGUCGAAGAUACCAGCUGGCUGCAACUGUUUAUUAAAAACACAGCACUGUGCAAACACGAAAGUGGACGUAUACGGUGUGACGCCUGCCCGGUGCCGGAAGGUUAAUUGAUGGGGUCAGCGCAAGCGAAGCUCCUGAUCGAAGCCCCGGUAAACGGCGGCCGUAACUAUAACGGUCCUAAGGUAGCGAAAUUCCUUGUCGGGUAAGUUCCGACCUGCACGAAUGGCGUAAUGAUGGCCAGGCUGUCUCCACCCGAGACUCAGUGAAAUUGAACUCGCUGUGAAGAUGCAGUGUACCCGCGGCAAGACGGAAAGACCCCGUGAACCUUUACUAUAGCUUGACACUGAACAUUGAGCCUUGAUGUGUAGGAUAGGUGGGAGGCUUUGAAGUGUGGACGCCAGUCUGCAUGGAGCCGACCUUGAAAUACCACCCUUUAAUGUUUGAUGUUCUAACGUGGACCCGUAAUCCGGGUUGCGGACAGUGUCUGGUGGGUAGUUUGACUGGGGCGGUCUCCUCCUAAAGAGUAACGGAGGAGCACGAAGGUUGGCUAAUCCUGGUCGGACAUCAGGAGGUUAGUGCAAUGGCAUAAGCCAGCUUGACUGCGAGCGUGACGGCGCGAGCAGGUGCGAAAGCAGGUCAUAGUGAUCCGGUGGUUCUGAAUGGAAGGGCCAUCGCUCAACGGAUAAAAGGUACUCCGGGGAUAACAGGCUGAUACCGCCCAAGAGUUCAUAUCGACGGCGGUGUUUGGCACCUCGAUGUCGGCUCAUCACAUCCUGGGGCUGAAGUAGGUCCCAAGGGUAUGGCUGUUCGCCAUUUAAAGUGGUACGCGAGCUGGGUUUAGAACGUCGUGAGACAGUUCGGUCCCUAUCUGCCGUGGGCGCUGGAGAACUGAGGGGGGCUGCUCCUAGUACGAGAGGACCGGAGUGGACGCAUCACUGGUGUUCGGGUUGUCAUGCCAAUGGCACUGCCCGGUAGCUAAAUGCGGAAGAGAUAAGUGCUGAAAGCAUCUAAGCACGAAACUUGCCCCGAGAUGAGUUCUCCCUGAGACUUAGGUCUCCUGAAGGAACGUUGAAGACGACGACGUUGAUAGGCCGGGUGUGUAAGCGCAGCGAUGCGUUGAGCUAACCGGUACUAAUGAACCGUGAGGCUUAACCUUACAACGCCGAAG